CCGAGUUCCAUGGCCUGGAGAUUGGUAUCCCAUCAAGCUGUUUGAGCCUGUAAGUUUUAGGACGUACUUCUUCAUCCACUUGAUAAGGGUCUUUUCAGUUGGAUGACAGCUUUCCCUACUCAAUGGGCUACGAAACCUCAGCCUAUCAUAAUACCAGAUCGCCUACUCAGAAUUCCUUCAGUUUAAUUUGGGAGUUGUAAUACCUGGCCACUCUUUGACGG
rnacentral:lncRNA from 1 species